rnacentral:lncRNA from 7 species
AGACGCGUUUAUAAAAGUGGAGAAAGCGACUCAUUCUGUACGCGUUAAGAGAAGGUUUACCUGGCAAAACCGGCGCUCAGCUCCGUUUCUGACCGGCGCGGCCGCACCGGGCAGCGUACACAGCCAGCUUUAGCGAACAGAAAGAAGAGCUCCAGAGCCGAUCGGUUUCUUCCCCGGCUGCGCAGGGAGCGCGAGGGGGACUGCCUCAGCCUGCUUCAUUUUAACAAGCCCUCCGCGGUGCAAACGGCAAUCUUUGAGGUCAAAACCGGUGCGCACCCACAGAAAGCGUUAAUACCGUUCACCGGUGGGAGCACAAAUGCCCUCUCGCAGCAUUUCACCAAAUGAAUGCAGCCGCAGAAGCCGUAUUCCCAUAGGUUCUGCCACCUCGUUGACUUGUUCCCCCCCAUACCGUGCACCAUCAGAUAUGUUUUUCCUCUCUCUCCAUUUGCCAUCGCUAUGUUUCUCUCACCCAUCUCUCAUCCAAGCAAGUGGCUCUCUUCCCUGCCAGUGCUGCUGCUCAGGCAACCAGAAAUACAGUGCUAUAGUUUGCACGCUGAUAAACAAAGCAGUUGGCUUCUUCCCUGGGACUGAAAAUGCCACCUCCACCAGACCGGGGCCUGGAAUUCCAACUGCGUUCUUGAACUUGGAUUUCAGUUAUCCAUCAGUUUAGAAAAAGAAGAUAAGAAAUAUUACUGCAGGCAAAUAAGCUGGGUGGCAAAGCUCGAGUCAUCUGGCAAGGAGCAAGAAUGUAAACUACAUUUUAUUAGCUGCAGAGAAUUAAUUUGAAAACAAGAACAUCGUUUGCUUAGCGGAACAUGUUGGGGGUUGGAUUCCAUGAUCUCCAGAGAUACCUUCUAACUUUACCAUUCUGUCCUUCUGCGAAUUUUUGCCAUACGCUGUGGUACCUUGUUCAAAGCAUAGCUGGAGAAGAUCGUUAAGUUUGAAAUAAAUAUCAGAUAAUC